GCGCCCAUAGUUCAGCUGGAUAAGAACGGUCGCCUUCUAAGCGACAGGCCGCAGGUUCGAGUCCUGCUGGGCGCG
rnacentral:tRNA from 1 species